GUCGCAUUUAGGGCUGCAUUCGUCAUCUAGUCAUUUAAGAAAAAUAACCGUAAUAAAAUUGACUGUUGUUCCUCGUGAAGUAUAAAAUACUUAAUUUUUUUUAUUUCUUUUAAAUCUAACGUUAAAUGAGACCGACUGGACGACGUAUGCAGCCUUCAAAUGCGACCUCAGGAUGACGCAGCCACUGAAUUGGGACACGGAUAUAGAAACACCGAAUGACCAGUAAUAUCUGAAGCAGCGCCGCCAGUCCAUAUUUGUGUUUAGUAUGAGAAAUAUGCAUUUUUAUUAUACAUGCUUGCAACAACAUUUACUUCUACUUUGUUGUUAUAUUAUAAAAGUGCUGUUUCUUAAAUGCUCAGUUGUUAUUCUUUCAAAUUACCUAACGUUACAGUCUAAAUGUUUUUGAGCACGUGCAAACGGUCUUCUGUAUAGCUAACUUGUGUGCUGAUCUUGUAUUAAUGCAAUGUCAAAACAGAAACUUUUUUUAGUUUAAUAAUCACAUGAUUAAACUGUUAUAUCUUUUGUGUUAGAGAGAAUCAUGAAAUUCAGUAUUACGUUAUUUAUAGAGAAAAAUUUCACCUAAUAAAAGCUAAAUUUACAGCAUUGCUCAAUUUUAAAUUGCCAGCAACAUCAUCACUAUAAUGUUAAAUGUAUCACUCAGCCAUAAAAAUAAAGUGUUGAUAUUUUUUUGCUCAUUGUAUUUGGGAUGUAGAUGUUCAGUGAAUAUUUCUGUGUGUAAAAUGUGUAUGUGUACUUGGCUGGAAUUUUUUUUUUUUAUUUGCAGGAUCAGUACAGUGCAAGCACAGUGGAAGCACAACUCUAUAUCGAUGAGGUGGUGUUGCAAGAUUUGUAGAUUUUCCUCGCCCAACCAGCGUACCCUAAUCACACACUAUAAGCUGAAACACUGCCAUCAGGCAAGUCACUGUCCACUCCCAUGCAUCUAUAAAGAUUGUGUAUGCACAUUUAGGAGUGAACUGUCUCUGAAGAAGCAUUUAACUCGCGACCAUAGUCAGUGUGUUCAAGCCUCCUCAAAAUUUCUUAAAGCAACCUCAAAUGUGAGCUGUGACCUGUGUAAUUAUUCAGAGGCUUGCAGUGUUUCACAGUAUUUUGCACAUCUUAAAACACACAUUAAAAAGAAAGAGUCAGUGAGGUGCCCCUUUCAAGACUGUAGUUUCCAGACCAGUGUGUACAGCACUUUCCAUGCUCAUAAAAGUAAGAAACAUCACCACAGCACUUUGAAAGAUUUUCGAACAGACUUGUAUCAAACUUGCAUUCCUGAUGAUUCAAACCCUGACAGUACAGACUCUCAAAUCCAUUCAUUCAGCCUAGAUUGCUCAACAGUAGAUAGUGACAUAGAUGUCCAAGACCUACAGGAUUUGGUUAAACACAAAGUAGCAUCACUGUUACUUCGCAUGCAAACAACUCUACAUGUCUCAAAAGCCACCACACAGGAAAUUGUAAAUGAGCUUUGCAGUGUUUAUUCAAUUGUGCAAGAGUUCACUCCAAGAAUAAUUGAAAGUGUAUUGGUUAAGCACAAUUGUGUAUUAACCAAUGAAGUGACUGCUGCCUUAGCUGAGAUAGUCGAAAAAACAAAUCCCCUAACUUCCCUUUCAAAGAGUGGCCCGUUUGCAACCGAAUACAAAAGAACCACUUAUUACAAGGACAACUUCAAAGUAAUUGAGCCAGUUGAAUAUUUUUUAGAAUCGUCCUCUCAAAAAAAGUUUGUUUAUAUUCCAAUUUUGAAAGUUUUGACCGAGUUGUUGAACCGUGAUGACAUUUUGGAUAAAGUCCUGCAGGAAACUGCUGACCAGUCCGGUCAGAUUAAGACAUACAGAGAUGGACUGUACUGCAAAGGCAAUCCUUUGCUCUCCUCAGAGAGUUUAAGCAUUGCACUUGGGAUGUAUAUAGAUGACUAUGAGGUAUGUAACCCACUGGGAACAUCAAAAAAAAAGCAUAAGGUCUGUGCAGUGUAUUGGGUGAUAUCAAACUUGCCAGCACAGUAUAGGUCUUCAGUACAGUCAAUUUUUCUGGCUUGUCUGUGUAAUAGCAAUGAUGUAAAGAAUUAUGGCUAUGAUGCCAUUUUUCAACCACUGAUUAGGGACAUUCAAGUCCUUGAAGAGGACGGAUUGUAUGUUCAAAAAUUGGGAACAAGUGUCAAGGGUUCUGUGUUGUAUGUGUCAGCGGACAACUUGGGGGCCCACUCACUAGCUGGCUUUCAAGAAAGUUUCAAUGUUGAUAAAUUCUGCAGAUUUUGCCUAGCUAGUCGCAAGGAUAUUGACUUGCAUGAAGUCAGAGAGGGGGUGUUUCCACUCAGGACGAUUGAAACUCACAAACAGACCCUUGAGGAAUUGAAGACGAAUUCACUGGUUUCUCUGGAUGGAGUAAAGAGAGACUGUGUUCUUGAUAAACUUAAUUAUUUCCAGACAGUGCAAGGGUUUCCUCCAGAUUUUAUGCAUGACCUGUUUGAAGGUAUAGUACCAACAGAGUUAAGUCUUUGCAUAAAGUCCCUUAUUUCCAAAAGGUACUUCACAUUAGAUGACCUUAAUGACAUCAUCAAGUCUUUUCCUUUCAAGUUUACUGAUAAAACUAACAAACCACAACAAAUUUCAAAGACAUUUGUGUCAAAACAUUCAAUUGGUGGAAACUGCCAUGAAAACUGGACUCUGUUAAGGCUACUGCCAUUGAUGAUGGGUCACAGAGUACCAGAAGGAGACAAAAUUUGGCAAAUCAUACUAGAUCUGAAAGAUAUUGUUGAGCUCCUAGCUACUGGACAAUUCACUGAUGAGACACUGUGCUACUUGGAGUCCAAAAUCUCAGAGCACAGGUGCUUGCUGAAAGAGUGUUUUCCAGAUUUCCACAUUCUCCCGAAGCAUCAUUUUUUAGAACAUUAUCCUGAAAUGAUUAGUCGAUUUGGGCCUCUGACUGAUUUUUGGACUAUUCGCUUUGAGGCGAAACACAACUUCUUUAAGAGAGUUGUACAUGAUGGUAAAAACUUCAAGAAUGUCUUGCUCACUCAGGCCAAAAAGCACCAGCUUGCUUUGGCUUACUACCUUGAUUUGCCAAGUGUUUUCAAACCUGAUCUAGAAGUAGGACAUGUUGCUGUCGUUUCACCUGACACACUUGAACGUUCAGUGAGGCAGGCCAUUGAGCAUAAAUAUGGAAACACAAACACUGUAUUUCUUUCAACCCAUGCAUGCAUUAAUGGUACCAAGUACUCGGAGGGAAUGUUUUUGUCUGUAGGGCACACCAGUGGACUGCCUGACUUUGGCGAGAUUGUUAAAAUGAUAAUUGUUAACAACAAAGUGUCAUUCAUCCUCAAACCUUUCAAAGCCUGGUACAUAGAGCAUUUGCGAAGUUAUGAGCUGACGAGUAAUUGCACUUCUGAACUGCAGGUUGUGGAACCCCAGGAGCUUAAUGGAUACCAUCCACUUUAUCCAUAUGUAAGAGCUGGAAAGCUAUACAUCACACCAAAAACCUUCUUGCUUCACUAAGUUGAAGAGAAACCCUGGAAUUUCCUAUUCUUAUAACAAAAUGCUGUUUCGCGUGAUCAUCUCCCCACAGAACAUUCAAAAAGUUAGACUUGAUCCUGUUCCAGAUUCUGUUGAUGGCCUCAAGCUUGAACUUAAAAGCAUGCUCCAGCUGAAAGACCCUUUUGACCUUCAAUAUGAAGAUGAAGAUUUCCAUGAUUUCUGUAACCUUACACAUUUAGCUGAUCUGCCCAAAGACAAGGUGACACUGAAGGUCCUUUUCACCACCUUUCCAGAUACACUCUCAGACUCCAGUUUAGACACUGUAAUUUUAAGUGAAUCAUCAUCUCCAUCAACUUCUUCACCCAGCAUCCAUUCAGAGCCAUCUGCCACCCGUUUGCAGCCAUGGCCAACUGCCUUUCCCAUCCCAGUUUUUACAUAUGAUGUGGAGCUGAGGCUAAGACAUGGUAAUGAGGCAUUUCGAAAGGAUGGAACACUUCUGUCAAUUCCCAGGGACAUGAAGAUUGAGAUCCUUGAGAAACUUGCAGAAACCAUAUACUCAUACAAAGCCUACCCUGGGAAUGAAGAGAUUGACAGUGUAGCGGCCGCCUUAAUUGAAAAACACCCCUGUCUUAAAGAGCCAAGCUCCACAUCUGGAUGGUAUGGGUGGAAAAUUAGUUUAAAGUUUAAGAUGGGAAACUACAGACAAAAGCUGAGAGAUGCAGGUUGUCAGGAAUUGAAAGUGAAUUCUGAAAAGAGAGGUCUUGGGGAGACGAGAGGAAAGCGAAACAAAGUGAAGAAACCUAGACGUUGUGAAACAAAUUUUCUUCCAGAUCUACCUCAGGGCAAAGACAAGGAAAAUUUAGAUAAAGAAAGAGAGCAAAUAGCUGAUGAGAUGAAGAAGAGGACUCCAGACAUCACCUUUGUUGAUGCUGCUAUGAGUAGCACAUAUUCUUUGAGAAGACAAGAAGUCGUUGAGGAGGAGCCACCAGUGUCACAAAUGAAAGUCCGAUGGCCUGCACUUUUUACGGAGAGACAGAUCAGCAAAGAAUUCACCAGGCUUGUGUCAAAGGACCUGAGCAAGUCCUUUUUUGAAGGCCUAGAUGGUCAUCUCUCAAAGCUGAUACAGUUAUUCAGGUCAAAGCGUUAUGAGGACAUUCCAGAAAUGACUUCAAUACUGGAGAGCCUUGAUAAGGAUACAACAAACCAACGGAUGAGGACAGCAGCAUUGCUGGGCCUGCCAUGGACAUUUACAACAUGGAACUGUUGUAAAUGUCUUUUGAAAGUGUUAAUUGUCUUGCUGUCUGUGCAGGCCUCACUGAGCCAUUGGAUUUUAUCAAAAAUAUCUUAAUUUGUGUUCCGAAGAUGAAUGAAGGUCUUACAGGUGUGGAACGACAUGAGGCCCAGUGACCGUGAAGAGGAUCUGAUCAAGGGUGUGGUGAUUGGAAUCCUAGUGGUUGUAGAAAAUGUGAUGGAACCUCUCCCAGCGUUCUACAAUGACGUUGCCUUGGUGAUUGAAGAAGAAGUGGUAAUGCGUCACCUGAGUGACAUACCGAAUGCUUUUCUGAACCUGAUGGGCCUGGUGUACGCGUUGAACCUUGACUACCCAAGGGAAUUAAAAUUCACUUUUGAAGUGAUACAGCGCCUGUUUAUUGGAGUUGGGUCAGAUUCUUGCACCGCAAGAGUUCACUCUUUGAAGAGCAAGUUGCUGCGAUAAGACAGAAAACAAACAAUCUUUUUUUCCUUCUUCCUUCUUACUGUUUAAUCAUUGUACUGUUUUAAAGUUUAAGAGCAUUGUUGUUUUAGAUCUUCUUGUUUUAAGUAUAACAUUGGUAUUCUUGAAAUUUUUCAAACUGACUGUUGUUACCUUGUCCUGCUUCCUAUUUCCUUGUCAUGUUUCUACAAUUGGGAAUUGAAGACAGUGUUUUUGAACAGUUUAAUGUGAAGUUUUUUACACAGCUUAUUGUGAAUUGUUCAUGUACACUUGUUCAAUGAAAAUGUCUCAUAAUGACACGGAGAGUUAUUUGUACUAUUUUGGCUCUAAGAUGGGUCUGUGCAUAGAAGUUUGCACAUGUUUGUGUGAGCUGUGUGUGAGGGUUUUUCUUGUGUUUUAUAUCUAUGCAAGAUAAUUCUUUGUCUGUUUUUGAUGCAAUGUCUCGGUUUAAAAAUAAAUGCUGAGAUUUGA